rnacentral:rRNA from 1 species
CCUAACACAUGCAAGUCGAACGGUAACAGGAAACAGCUUGCUGUUUCGCUGACGAGUGGCGGACGGGUGAGUAAUGUCUGGGAAACUGCCUGAUGGAGGGGGAUAACUACUGGAAACGGUAGCUAAUACCGCAUAAUGUCGCAAGACCAAAGAGGGGGACCUUCGGGCCUCUUGCCAUCGGAUGUGCCCAGAUGGGAUUAGCUUGUUGGUGGGGUAACGGCUCACCAAGGCGACGAUCCCUAGCUGGUCUGAGAGGAUGACCAGCCACACUGGAACUGAGACACGGUCCAGACUCCUACGGGAGGCAGCAGUGGGGAAUAUUGCACAAUGGGCGCAAGCCUGAUGCAGCCAUGCCGCGUGUAUGAAGAAGGCCUUCGGGUUGUAAAGUACUUUCAGCGGGGAGGAAGGGAGUAAAGUUAAUACCUUUGCUCAUUGACGUUACCCGCAGAAGAAGCACCGGCUAACUCCGUGCCAGCAGCCGCGGUAAUACGGAGGGUGCAAGCGUUAAUCGGAAUUACUGGGCGUAAAG